UCGAGGAUCUUCGGCAAUGGGCGCAAGCCUGACCGAGCGACGCCGCGUGUGCGAUGAAGGCCUUCGGGUUGUAAAGCACUGUCGGGGGGGAAGAAACGCCCGCAAGGGCCUGAUCGACCCCCGGAGGAAGCACGGGCUAAGUUCGUGCCAGCAGCCGCGGUAAGACGAACCGUGCGAACGUUGUUCGGAAUCACUGGGCUUAAAGGGCGCGUAGGCGGGCUCGCCAGUCAGGGGUGAAAUCCUCCAGCUCAACUGGAGAAGUGCCUUUGAUACUGCGGGCCUCGAGGGAGGUAGGGGCGUGCGGAACUUCCGGUGGAGCGGUGAAAUGCGUAGAUAUCGGAAGGAACACCGGUGGCGAAAGCGGCGCGCUGGACCUCUUCUGACGCUGAGGCGCGAAAGCCAGGGGAGCAAACGG
rnacentral:rRNA from 1 species